CAUGAUAGGUAAUACAAUUUACAAUUUGAUAUUUCGGAGUGGGUUAAGCCCUUCCCCUAGUUAUAGCACUCAUAUUAUAUUCAUAUAGGUAAUCAUAUAUAAUACAUAAUGUGAAUUUAAUUCUUCAUGAGAUAUAUGUAAAUAUAUUUUUAUAAUUCAAUUUCUGAACACAACUUCUAGCUCCACCCAUAAUUAUUAUUGAUUGUUAUCAUCAAUGACGCAUUAUCUAAGUAAAAUGUAAUUUAACUUUACAAUUUAAAUAAUAUGUUGAUUUGAUAUUAUAUUUUUUAUUUUACAACAGACCUUCGGCGGUGGACGACGUGUAGAUAUCCAUCACACGCAGACAUUGAUGGAUACGUCAUAACUCAUAACAAUAUUAUAUCACUAGCAAACACUACAAAGACGAAACGUCAAAAUAAUAUUAUACAUUUUAUUCUAAUGACGUGCUGUAUACGAAUUCGAUGUUAGCCCCGCGAUAUCAUAUUAUUUUACCUACUUAUUAAUAUUGGCAGUCAAUGCAUUGUCCAGCACACAGAACGCCCGCGGAGCGUAUUACUAUUAUUAUGACGAAUGACGAUCGUCGGUCGGUGGGAACUUCCGACGGUGGCGAAAAAAAAGCGAUCAUCGGUACAUCGGACUCCGCCGUCGGCACACGCAGAGUGCCUGUCUAUAUACUGUGCCUCCCAUAUACGUCGACCGGCUCUGAUGAGGACUUCGAAGGUCGAUGAUCUAUCGUGACGGGACAUUCGUAUACAUAUAUUAUUAUUAUUAUUAUUAUUAUAUUAUGAUAUUGUGCACACACAUCAGAGAAACGCUGCCGACGAGACGGGAAUAUCAAACAAAAGAACAUUAUAACACGUCCGAACAACGACACGAUGACGACGACAACGACUACGAACUAUACGAGCCAGCGAGCAUUGCGUGUGGUUCCCGAGCAACAGUCUGAUAUCGUAUAUCAGUUUUAUAUGUUCUAAAUAUUUAAUAUUAUUAUUUAUUUGUUAUAAUAUAUGAUUAUAGGUAUUAUAUA